rnacentral:rRNA from 1 species
CCCCUAGAUGUUCUGGGCCGCACGCGCGCUACACUGACCAGUGCAACAAGCAUCCGUCCUUGGCCGACAGGCCCGGGCAAUCUUUGAACGCUGGUCGUGAUGGGGAUAGACUUUUGCAAUUUUUGGUCUUCAACGAGGAAUUCCUAGUAAACGCAAGUCAUCAACUUGCAUUGAUUACGUCCCUGCCCUUUGUACACACCGCCCGUCGCACCUACCGAUUGAAUGGUCCGGUGAAGCCUCCGGAUUGGCGCGCACCCCGGUGCCGCCGAGAAGUUGGCUAAACCUUACCAUUUAGAGGAAGGUGAAGUCGUAACA